UUCAAGAGGGGGGGAUUUUCACCCCCACCGCUGGCACCCAAAGCCAAAAUUCUUGGAAUCAAACUACCUCUUG
rnacentral:tRNA from 1 species